AUCUAGAGACUUCCUCCAUCUCUAAUAGGCAGCGAUGCCCUGAAAGGUGGCCAUUCCAGCAAUCAGGAGAUGUGGGGAUUUCAAAGCUCUGGGCUCCUCUGGUCACCAGCCCGUUGUGUGUCUGUGGGGAAGUUACCUACAUUUCUCUGGGAUCUAGUUUCCUCAUCUGUAGGACGGGAUCAACUUCUGUUCUGCUUACCUCAUAGAGCUGUUGUGAGGGUCAAGUGGACCUCUGCUCCUGGGAGAUUAUCCCAUGGAAAGAAUUCAAAAGAAAAGAACAUAAACGUGUGAAGGUACUCCUUGUAGCUUUAUUUGUAAUAGCAAAAACAAAGAAACAAACACAAACAGCUCCACGAAAGAACCAAGCCACAAACAAAGAAACAGAAACCUUCAAAUAAACCUGGAAGUUAUUACGUAUCUUCACCUGUAUGGAAAAUUGUGCAGCCCUUAAUAAGCACAACUCUGGAAGGUAGGCGGUGUGGCUACACGGAAAAUUGUUUGAGCGUUGUUACAUGGAGAGAGAGGAAUAUAAAAUGUUACCUGCCCUAAAGCAUGUGAAAUCACCUGUAAAUGUGAGGAAAGGCUGAAAGGAAGCGUGGAAACAUCAAAGUCAAAGGGUUAAGGUGAUAAGAUUUUGAAUCAACAAAAAUUAUUAAUACUGAAAUGUUAUAAAUGCAAAUUAGAGAAAAAUUCAAAUAAAAUAUAUGUAAAAAUGCAUAUUUUUAUCUAGUGGCUAGGGAUGUCUAUCUCAGAGUUCCUGUGAUCUGUAGGCAAAUUUGAGAAGUUUUGAGAGGAGAGCAAUGACUAUUGGUCAGGUGAUGACAACUUGAAGUGUGAGCUCCCUGGGGUCAGGUACUGUGUCCUCCCCACCUCAGGGUCCUCCACACAGCCUGGUCCAUAGGAGGCCCUCAGCGGGGAAUCACAUCUAAACCUCCUAACAGGGACACAGGGGUGACUAUUUCCAUUUUACAGAAGAGGAAGCUGAUGCCUAGAAAAGGGCAAAUAGCCCAAAGUUUCCAGCAGCGAACAGCCAGGUCAGGACACACCUCACAUCUCCUGACCCCCAGGAUGGUACCUUUCCAGUCCUCACAGGGCUGCUUGGUCCCCACCACAGAUGGGAAGUGAACCAACUCCUCUCUGCUCACCCAGGUUCACCUGGAAUUAAGGUUGCUAAUCAGUUGACCUUGAAAUGUAGUUCUUAUCCUGGAUCAUCCCAGUGGGCCUGGUGUCAUCACAAGUCCUUACAAGUAGAAGAGAGAGGCAGAUAAGAAAGAACCAGAGAUACCAGCACAAGAAAGACUCAGCCACUGUUGCUGGUUUUGAAGAUGGAAGAAGGAUCAUGAACCAAGGAGUUCGGGUGGCCUCUAGAAGCUGAAAAGGACGAGGAAAUGGAUUCUGCCCUAGAGCUUCUAGAAGAAACGCAGCCUUGCCAACACCUUGAUUUUUAGCCCAAUGGGCUCAUUUUGGACAUCUGACCUCUAGAACUGUAAAAUAAUACAUUUGUGUUGUUUUAAGCACCUAAGUUUGUGGUAAUAUGUUACAGCAGCAAUGGGAAAUGACUACAGCGGGUGUUCCUGGACUCCUGGCUGGGCACCUCUGAAAAGAGAACAGGAUGACCUCCCUGGUGAGGGGAGAGGGGUGGGUAGAGUCUAUCUGUCUGGAAUUAGUCCUCCUGCUUGGAUUCACUGUUUACUAAUCCAGUUAGCAAUUUAUCCCCCAGCUGUGGUGAAAUCACUUUCAGGCCAAGAGUGUCUGGUUUUAAGUCCCAGGUAAAUUUCCUAGUGAAGCAUUGAGGGAACACGCCCUAAACAGAGGCCGAUGUGUCUUCAGGACAAGCUUCUGAAGUGGGUGUUGUUAUGCCCAUUUUGUGGAUGAGGAAACUGAGGCUCAAGAGGAAAUCAGUGCACCGUCCAAGGUCCCAUAGUGAAUGGCAGAGCCAUGGCUUGAAUCUGGGUCCGCCUGGUCCAGCUCUUCUUCAUACUACACACUCUGCCUUAACUGCCUUUUUCCUGAGCGUGUUGUAGAGAAAUUCCAGGUUCCCUCUGCUGAGACUCGCUCUCCGUUGCCCACUAGAGUUCCUAUAGUAAGUUACCACGCACGCUUUCUGUGUGGCCAGGUCAUUAUCCUUCAUUUCCCCCACGGAGGUCCUGCCUCCUUAAUUAGAUCACACACUGAGAGGCAGCAUCAGCUCCUUCUGAAAUCUGCUCCGUGCCAGAGCCUGCGCUGGGGGCUCACCAAAUUCCUAUUGGAUGAAAGAAUGGAAUCUGCCAGGAGAGAAGGAGAAACUCCUUCUAUUUUGAAUCUGUGGGGCAUUCUCACCCACCUUGGUCGUUACUGGAUAUUAGCAAAGGUGUGUGUAUUAGCCUGGAAAUUCUUUUAGGAGUUUUAAAAACUCAACAUCAAAGGCAGGAAAGGCUUGGUAGUCUUUGAUGUGCGUAAGAGAAGUCAGCUAGAGUUUUGGUAAAGUGGUGUGAAACACACUCACACACACACACACACUCCCCUUUCUUUACCAAAUAUGAAAGAUUCUCUCUGCCUCCUCCACCCUCAAAUAAUGGUCCGUUUUAAUAGCUGGGAGACUCUUUUGUUAUCCUAGCAGGGUGGAGAAUAUUUCUUCAGCUCUUUUGCUUUACUUUGCUCAGGAAAACCCUUCAAAUAGGACUCCUGCUUCCCUUUAUUGCAAAUGGUGCUGCAAAAAGGCCGGGAGAGUUUACAGAAUGAUGUCGUGGAGAAGAAAAUACACUGGCUCCGAAACCAGAGGACUUCCCCAAGGUCACACAUCUAAUCCUGGCCCGAAUACUACUUCCUCUGUUUCAAUGAAAGUUACGCAUAUGCAAAUUCGAAAUCUACUUAAUUGACAAAGUGAUGUGUGUCCCAGGAAUUGUUUGUGCAACUAACUGCAAGUGAAUCUGAGAGAGGCGAGGGCGUCAGAAGGGCGAGCGUCUGGGAUAUUUUAAUAUUCAGUAUUCCCAGACUCAGCAGGCAGCAGGCUAAAUCUGUCCGCUGAUGGGCAGGCAUGAAUUAUGAAACCACUCACGUAGGUUGAGAGGUUGCCCGGUGCUGGGGAAGUGUGUCCACCAGCGUCUCCUCAAGCAGGUGGGGGGAAGGGUCGCUCCCCAGUCGGGAGGGAAGGUCGGAUGUGGACAGCUUGCAGUUCCUGCCCAGUAAAACACCAUCUGCAGAUGAGGAGGUCAAAGUGCUGAGUUCCAGUCCUGCAUCUGCUGUCACCGCCGGCCAUGAUGUAGGGCAAGUCACUCCCCCAGUGGGCUUUCAGCUUCUCCUUCUAAAAGCUGAUCUCCAGGGCCCUUCCAGCUCCACAGAUUUCUGGUAUUCACUGACGGAUGCUCUUGGACUUUGGAACCACAGUGUGUUUGGGAGAUUUUGCUUUUGAAGGUUUCCUUUUGAGAUUGCCUUCAUUCACUGGGCAUCUUCUUGCUGAGAAAUACCAUCAAGAAAGCAAAGACUGAAGUUCCUUUUCCUUCCCCAAAUGUGAUGCUUAAAUAAAAUUCAGUUUUGUGGCUCAAA